rnacentral:rRNA from 1 species
AGUGAACGCUGGCGGUAGGCCUAACACAUGCAAGUCGAACGGCAGCACAGUAAGAGCUUGCUCUUACGGGAGGCGAGUGGCGGACGGGUGAGGAAUACAUCGGAAUCUACUUUUUCGUGGGGGAUAACGUAGGGAAACUUACGCUAAUACCGCAUACGACCUACGGGUGAAAGCAGGGGAUCUUCGGACCUUGCGCGAAUGAAUGAGCCGAUGUCGGAUUAGCUAGUUGGCGGGGUAAAGGCCCACCAAGGCGACGAUCCGUAGCUGGUCUGAGAGGAUGAUCAGCCACACUGGAACUGAGACACGGUCCAGACUCCUACGGGAGGCAGCAGUGGGGAAUAUUGGACAAUGGGCGCAAGCCUGAUCCAGCCAUACCGCGUGGGUGAAGAAGGCCUUCGGGUUGUAAAGCCCUUUUGUUGGGAAAGAAAAGCAGCAGGUUAAUACCCCGCUGUUCUGACGGUACCCAAAGAAUAAGCACCGGCUAACUUCGUG